rnacentral:rRNA from 1 species
UACAGAGGGUGCGAGCGUUAUUCGGAAUUACUGGGCGUAAAGCGUGCGUAGGCGGCUAUCUAAGUCUGGUGUGAAAGCCCCGGGCUCAACCUGGGAAUUGCAUUCGAGACUGAAUAGCUAGGGUACGGUAGAGGGAAGUGGAAUUUCCGGUGUAGCGGUGAAAUGCGUAGAUAUCGGAAGGAACAUCAGUGGCGAAAGCGACUUCCUGGACCAGUACCGACGUUCAGGCACGAAAGCGUGGGGAGCAAACAGG